rnacentral:sRNA from 1 species
UAAUAUUUAAAUUUUUUUUUUAUGAAUAUUUUCUCAGUUCUCUUUCUGCCUUUUCUUGAGCCUUCCUUUAGUUCGCGUCUGAAAGGCUUAUCUUAGCGUCUCGAACGUUGUUCUUCACGUUUUCUGGAUUUCAAACAAGGUGUGGAGUUCUCGCGCAAGGAGCAUGGCAAAGGAGGAGGUUUGGAUUCGGUUUUGGUAGAGAGGAAACGCAAGUUUCGGCAGCCAGGCGCAACCUCCAUCCUCAGCGCCACACGGUGGGUACCACGGCGGUGACGUCUUCGCGACACGGGGAUGGGCUUCGCCAGAUAGGGUUCGAAUCGUGUUCCUUUUUUUUCUGAUUCUUGUGAUUUGGGGGUUAGGGUUUCGAAGGGGAUUUUGAAAAUUCGUGUUUUCUAUAAUUUAUGAAAACUGGUGAACCUUGUCAUUCUUCAAACCUAAACUUGUGGAGUGGUAGAUCUUGAAAGUAGGCACUCUAUGAGUGGCAGGCUUGUUGGACAGUUGGCAGUUGAUUUUGAUGAAUGUUCUUCUACUUCUACUUGUGUUGCAGUUAAGAGGAUGGAUAUUGGAUCGAUGGAGUAUAGCUGUAGAUUAUUUUACUUACUAAAAUGCUUUAUGUUUUAUUAAAUUUCAUAUAUUAUUUUUGUUGUCUGUUCAAGUUAGAUUGGCUUUAGUCUCUCUUGCUAGUUGUAGGGAGGUACAUGUUUCGACCAUGGUGUUUGUAUGCAAGAGCAACAAUUGCUCACUGGAACAUUAUGAUGAUCGAGCUUGAAUUGAUGGGUUUACAAGGAAAUGAAGAAUUGAAAUGGGUGCUAGGUGAGCAAAUGGUGUGUGGUGUGCAAGUUUAGGUAACAGUGGAUAUGAUAAUAUGAUUAUAAGUAAUGUGUUAUAACUGAUAAUCAUCUUAGUUAUGGUUGAAUUGUGAUAAUGUACUUUGAAAGUGGGUUAGGACCAAAAAAACCCACAGAACUAAAAAGCUCCUC